rnacentral:lncRNA from 1 species
AAUUAUUUUUAUAUUUUUUUAAAGAUUUUAUUGUUAUUUUUCUUUGAGAUUAAUUUAUGACUUCUUUGUAUUUUAUUUUUGUAAAUUUUUUUAAAUUUAUUUUGGAUUGUUUAAAAUUUGAUUAGGAUUAUAAAGGAUUAUUGAAAGUUUAUUUAAGACUCUGUUAGACUAUGUAGGAUUGUUCUUGCUUUUUUACUUAUCUUCCACAGAUAGGUGCUUGGUACAUUCUCAAGUAGAAACACACAUAAUACAAUAGUACUCUUUUAAAGAAAAAACAUGUAAUAUCUAAUGUAUUCACACACAAAUAGAGAGGCAUAUUGUUAUCAUCAUUCAAACUAAAGGAAAAAAACACAUUGGAUAUAUAUUAAAAAAAAAAUAAAAAAAUAAAAAAAAUCAAAUAAAAGCUGAGCUUACUUGGUUAAUAUGACAUACAAUAAUUGCAAUUAACUCGUGGAGAAGGAGAAUCUAUAAUGAUAUAGACUAAAGUUGCCCAAUUUGUAUAAUAGAAAUAAGAGAGUUAUUGCUCUAUCAAUUUUGAGAGUAUAGAUUAACAACAAUAAUGUGAAGGUGAGGAGUCUACAUUUUUCAACU